rnacentral:lncRNA from 10 species
AAUGUGAAAAUAAAAGGACAGAGAAAAUUUUCCUUGUAAAUAUUAAAAAAGAAAAAUAUAGUUACAGUAAUAUCAAAAAAUAAAUUUUCAGACAAAAAGCAUUACUAGAGAUUAAAAAAAGAGACAAUGACAAAAGAAUCAAUUCAUCUGGAAGCUCUUAAUUUGUCUUGAUGUACCUAAUGACAUAACCUUAAAAUGUAAAAAGCAAACAUUGACAGAACUACAAGGAGAAAUAGAAAAUACAAAAUUAUAAUAGGAAAGUUUAACAUGCUUUUUGUUUUUUUACCAAUUGACAGAACAAGCAAACAAAAAGUAGGAUAUAGACAUUUUAAAUAAAUUGCUGUACUUGACCAAAUAAUGCCAUGUGUGAAAGUAGUGAGUACACACAUGCCCUCACACAGAGUACCCAUCAAUAGCAGAAUACAUAUUCUUGUAAGUGUUCAUGCAAUAUUUAUUUUAAAAUGACGAUCUAUGGAGCCAAGAGGAUUUCAAAAGGAUUGUAAUCAUAGAUAGUGUGUCCUUAGACCACAAUGCAAUUAUGUUAGGAAUCAAUAAUAAAAACUAAUAUCUCCCUCUCCCUCUCCGUCUCCCCACGGUCUCCCUCUCCCUCUCUUUCCACGGUCUCCCUCUGAUGCCGAGCCGAAGCUGGACUGCAAUGACGUGAUCUCGGCUAGCUACAACCUCCACCUCCCAGCCGCCUGCCUUGGCCUCCCAAAGUGCCGAGAUUGCAGCCUCUGCCCGGCUGCCACCCCGUCUGGGAAGUGAGGAGCGUCUCUGCCUGGCCGCCCAUCAUCUGGGAUGUGAGAAGCCCCUCUGCCCAGCUGCCCAGUCUGGGAAGUGAGAAGCGCCUCUUCCCGGCCGCCAUCCCGUCUAGGAAGUGAGGAGCGUCUCUGCCCGGAUGCCCAUCGUCUGAGAUGUGGGGAGCGCCUCUGCCCCACCGCCCCGUCUGGGAUGUGAGGAGCACCUCUGCCCGGCCGCGACCCCAUCUGGGAGGUGAGGAGCGUCUCUGCCCAGCCGCCCCGUCUGAGAAGUGAGGAGCCCCUCUGCCCGGCAGCCGCCCCGUCUGAGAAGUGAGGACCCCCUCCGCCCGGCAGCCGCCCCGUCCAGGAGGGAGGUGGGGGGCAGCCCCCGCCCGGCCAGCUGCCCCGUCCGGGAGGGAGGUGGGGGCCAGCCUCUGCCCGGCCGCCGCCCCGUCCGGGAGGUGGGGGGCGCCUCUGCCCGGCCGCCCUUUCUGGGAAGUGAGGAGCCCCUCUGCCCAGCCGCCACCCCGUCUGGGAGGUGUACCCAACAGCUCAUUGAGAACGGGCCAUGAUGACGAUGGCAGUUUUGUCGAAUACAAAAGGGGGAAAUGUGGGGAAAAGAUAGAGAAAUCAGAUUGUUGCUGUGUCUGUGUAGAAAGAAGUAGACAUAGGAGACUCCAUUUUGUUCUGUACUAAGAAAAAUUCUUCUGCCUUGGGAUGCUGUUGAUCUGUGACCUUACCCCCAACCCGGUGCUCUCUGAAACAUGUGCUGUGUCCACUCGGUUAAAUGGAUUAAGGGUGGUGCAAGAUGUGCUUUGUUAAACAGAUGCUUGAAGGCAGCAUACUCGUUAAGAGUCAUCACCACUCCCUAAUCUCAAGUACCCAAUGACACAAACACUGCGGAAGGCCGCAGGGUCCUCUGCCUAGGAAAACCAGAGACCUUUGUUCACUUGUUUAUCUGCUGACCUUCCCUCCACUAUUGUCCUAUGACCCUGCCAAAUCCCCCUCUGGGAGAAACACCCAAGAAUGAUCAAUAAAAACAAAAACAAAAACAAAAAAAACUAAUAUAUAUUUUCCCAAAUUUUGAAAUUAAGAAACAUUCUUCUAAAUAACUCAUGAGUCCAAGAAGAAAUAAUAAUCAAUGAAGAGUUCCUUCUCAGUUUCUAGCAUAUGAUGAUUAGAAAAGAGUUCUUAAAAAAAUAGUGAAAAUGUCCUAGCUUUCUUUAAAUAAUAAUAAUGAGGGGCUGGGCAUAAUGGCUCACACCUGUAAUCCCAACACUUUAAGAGGCUGAGAUGGAAGGAUUCCUUCAGCCCAGGAGUUUGAAACCAGCCUGGGUAACAUAGGGAAAUCCUAUCUCUACC